GGCAGGCGUGAGGGUGUGACGGCCGCGCAUUCGCCAGACGAGAGCGAUGGCUGAGAACGCCGCACCAGGUCUGAUCUCAGAGCUGAAGCUGGCUGUGCCCUGGGGCCACAUCGCAGCCAAAGCCUGGGGCUCCCUGCAGGGCCCUCCAGUUCUCUGCCUGCACGGCUGGCUGGACAAUGCCAGCUCCUUCGACAGACUCAUCCCUCUUCUCCCGCAAGACUUUUAUUACGUUGCCAUGGAUUUCGGAGGUCAUGGGCUCUCGUCCCAUUACAGCCCAGGUGUCCCAUAUUACCUCCAGACUUUUGUGAGUGAGAUCCGAAGAGUUGUGGCAGCCUUGAAAUGGAAUCGAUUCUCCAUUCUGGGCCACAGCUUCGGUGGCGUCGUGGGCGGAAUGUUUUUCUGUACCUUCCCCGAGAUGGUGGAUAAACUUAUCUUGCUGGACACGCCGCUCUUUCUCCUGGAAUCAGAUGAAAUGGAGAACUUGCUGACCUACAAGCGGAGAGCCAUAGAGCACGUGCUGCAGGUAGAGGCCUCCCAGGAGCCCUCGCACGUGUUCAGCCUGAAGCAGCUGCUGCAGAGGCAGAGAACAGCAUUGACUUCGUCAGCAGGGAGCUGUGUGCGCAUUCCAUCAGGAAGCUGCAGGCCCAUGUCCUGUUGAUCAAAGCAGUCCACGGAUAUUUUGAU
rnacentral:lncRNA from 1 species